GUACUACUCCCUCUGUCCCAAAUUUUUUGUCUUGGAUUUGUUUAGAUAUGGAUGUAUCUAGAUGCAUCCAUAUUUAGAAAAAUCUAAGACGAAAAUUUUGGGACGAAGGGAAAACUUA
rfam:Hordeum vulgare subsp. vulgare, WGS project CAJW01000000 data, contig: morex_contig_108425